CUUUGGGGAGAAGCCUGGCCAUGGAGAAUUCAGGCAACAGGGUCCCAGGGCUGCUCCUGUUUUCCCCAGGGUAUAUUGGGAAUAACUCUGUUUACAAAUCCAGGUUUGUUCCUGCGUGACCAAGAGCUGGGUCUGGCCUUGCCCUCCGUUGCUCCACGGGGCAGAAAGCAGCACUGUUUAUCUGCCCUUUUGCAGAAAAUACGCUCCAGAAAAAGGCAGCCUCUCCCUUCCCCCAUGCUGACUCACCUUCAAAGCCAAACCCUGGGCUUUUUUCCACCACAAGGCUGCGGAGAGCUGACAGCUUGAAAACUCGAGGAAGUUUGCUGCUCAUUUUGGGGAUUUUGAAGUCUUGUUUCAGUCCAGUGGGCUGACAGAGAUGCUCAGGUAUCGCUUACUUGGGAUCCAUUUAUCUACAAAGGCAAUCAAGCUAUUCCCACCAGCUGCCGUGUGAAGGCCAAGGGGACUGGAGAUACAUAUGCGGGACCUGCUCUUUGAUUAGUCUGAGACUGAGCUUCUGCCUCACUCCACUUGGUGCAUUCAUAAUCAGGACAGAGAUGCUCAAGUCGGUAAACCCGUGCGUGCUCCUCCAGUCUCUUACAUGUGGUACGUGCCCGUGCUGUGGGGGGCAGCUCACAGCUUGACCCUAAAGCCUUGCUCACGGCUUCGCUGUGCCAGAUCCUCUCUGCAAACUUGCCUCUUGCCUUUUUCUGCCUGGUCUUCGUGACUGCUCGUCCCGCGCUGGCCCCAAGCCUGGUGGAGGUGAGGGCAGGGGCAGCCAUGCCCAAGGCAAGAGGGGAAAUGGGACAGGCGCUGAUGGGGACAGCAACAGGAGGGCUGCCUUCCCCAAAACAGCCCCCCGGCAUUGCCAUGUAUCAGGUAAAGCAAGCGCUGGCACUACAGGCAAGUUCUUUUCUUCCCGGAAAUCCAGGCACAGGGGGCUUGCUGUAAAGGGUCUUUGUAAUAUGUUGCUGUUCUCUGCGUUACCGUCAUUACUGCAGAGCCUGCUCUUAAAGAAAACUCUUGGGCAUCAUCACGCCAGGCCCCUGCAUUGUCUCCCCUCUCCAUGAGGUCACUUUGUUAAUGACUUCAUUGAGCCAUACCUCUGCGUGGCUCAAUUUGCCGUUUUCUACCACACUAUUGCAGUGACACGGAGCUCAGCUCUGGGACAGAGCCACCCAGGUGCGACACCACAUCUUGCUGAAAUGCAGCUGUUUGGCAGCUCGCUGGCCAAAGUGCAACCUUCAACGUAUUUGCUCACACCAAGGCUGCAACUCCAGGCUGCAGAGCCAGAAAGGCAGUAGAGUAAUGCAAUCAGAAAAGCAGGAGCUAUCACAUUCUGUUAUCGCGGAAGGAGUUACCUACCCGCACCACACCUAAAAGGCAAACAAACGCGUGCACCUCCCGUGCCCAGUGCACAAACAAAUCCACCCUAUUCAUAAACGUGCACUGAAAGCGUCCUCUGAUAAAAGAACGCUCAAUUUAUAGCUGUAACCUACCGAUGUGGCUCUGCAAAUAUUGGUUCUCACAACCAUUUUUCUUUCAUCUUAACAAAACGUGAUUGCUUUUUAAUUGAGAAACGGUCUCACUGGGGAACGGCCAAACCGCAGCUGUAACCACCAGGGAUGUCGGAAUACUCCCUGCAAUCAGCAGUGGUGUGAGAAGUGCAAACUCUGAGAAACCUCACACAUUGGUAGCAUUGUCUUCCUCAUCCUUUGAGCAGGACAGAAAGAAUAGGAUAGGGGAAAAGUUGGCUACCCAGUGCCUACAUACCCAAUGGCUGCAUCCUGCUGUGAGUCACGGUGAGGCUGCAGGUGGGGACGAGCACCUUGCUGUCGCAUGGAGCACGGUGCCCCCCACGCAGCAUUUCUCCUCCUUCUGCACGUUGCCUUGCGAAUGCUCGUUCUUGACAUUGCUGUUUCCCAAGCCUUUUCCUGACACCCUGCAGACACAGGACCUCACGCUGAAGCAGUCCAGACAAAUCUGUGAAGACUUUGGGAAGUGCUUGGGUGCUACCACAAAACGUUACGCAGAGAAGUUAAUCUGGAAAUUGCAGCCCAUUUCCUCCACGGCGCAGUUUGAAUCACGGCUUGUAAAUAAGGCAUGAGACACGCUCUGAAUAAUGAGGAGAAAUGAUGAAAAGUAUGAAAUAGCUGAUCAUGAGAUCACCAUUUAUUUUGGACAGGGAAUGUAGGAGAGGUUUCCAGGGAAAAAUUAGUAUGCAAGUACAUAGGUUCAAGAUGCAAGAUUGUGUCAUAAUCCAUAUGGAAAUGGAAAUCAAAUGGAUAUUGCCCAGACAACCCUAAGUCUAACCAUUCUUAUACUCCAAGAGUUUAACUUGGCUGUUUUAAAAGCCUCUUACACUCAAAGGAUCAAGGCCUCACUUUGUUAAUCACUGGUAUGGAAAUGCUCCCAGUGCGGAAAAGGAAUUCAGUGACCAAUAAAAUAGCAUUUCAUGUUUUUGUUAUUUUA